AUUGAACGCUGGCGGCAGGCCUAACACAUGCAAGUCGAACGAGUGGCGGACGGGUGAUUAAUGUCUGGGAAACUGCCUGAUGGAGGGGGAUAACUCCUGGAACCGGUAGCUAAUACCGCAUACCAUCAGAUGUGCCCAGAUGGUAUUAGCUAGUUGGUGGGGUAACGGCUCACCAAGGCGACGAUCCCUAGCUGGUCUGAGAGGAUGACCAGUCCAACUGGAACUGAGACACGGGCCAGACUCCUACGGGAGGCAGCAGUGGGGAAUAUGGCACAAUGGGCGCAAGCCUGAUGAAGCCAUGCCGCGUGUAUGAAGAAGGCCUUCGGGUUGUAAAGUACUUUCAGCAGGGAGGCGUUACCCGAAGAAGAAGCACCGGCUAACUCCGUGCCAGCAGCCGCGGUAAUUC
rnacentral:rRNA from 1 species